rnacentral:lncRNA from 1 species
UCCAUCUUGCACCAGCAAGCAUCUCAUUAACCAGCAAUUGUCAUACACAAAACACAAUCAAAUAUUAACAUUUAAAAUUAAAUCCUUAAACCUAUGAAGGAUUAAAUUCCAUUCCAUUCAUCUAUAGAUUCAAUACAUAUGGAACACAAGCCACCAAUUUUCCUACUACAAUACAAGGGAAAACCAUUAAUAUGGUGGCUCCAAUCUGAAGAAAUUUUACAAGAAUUCAUUAUGCAUUCAUUCUCUCCAUUGGUGGCGCUAACAAUGAAGACACUUUCCUUUGCAUUCAUUAUGUCCAUUCAUUCUGCAAGAAUUCUUAUUGUCCAUAAACAAGCCAUAUUACAAAUCAAAGCUAUCACUGGCCGUAUUCUCCACCAAAUUCAACUGAGUCUCUCAUACCCUUUUUGUAUUAACUGGGAUACUCUGCAAUCACAACUUCUCCAAAAUCCUCCCCAUUGUGUGCGUAAUAAACUGCGAUCCUGUAGCGCAUUCAUCAUCAUCAUUCCCAACCUAACUUUGUUAAACACAAAUGCUUAAUUCUGCCCGCCAUUUUUCCCAAUAUCGGGACCAAACAUGGGAUGACUACGAAGAAUAUCAAAGUGGGAAGGAAGAUAUUGCUAGAAAAUAUUGUGUGUUACGCCUAACGUGUUGAAUAGGAAGGGAUUCGAGCACUGAUUCAAUGGAAAUAAUGGAGGUGCAGAGAAGAAGAUCUAGGUGUUGUUCACAGAGGUCGUUGGGGUUAAAGAAGAAGGCUGCGCCGAGGGAUUGCAAGGAACUGGCCGAAGCUACCGUAUCCAAUAAUGGCGAUUUUGAGCUUCAUUGACUGGCGAAGGGGUUAAGGAGCUGGGCUUCAUCGUCGUAAGGUUGUGCAACACCUACGGCCUGGACUCCAAGGCGGUCGAGGCGAUGAGAGAGGGCGGCGGGAUGGUAAAAUGGUGGAGAGGUGAAGGGAAAUUUGUGGGUAUGGAAAGAUGGAGAGGGUUGAUUGAAAAAUCGUGUUUUCAAUAGGC